GGUCGGUUAGCUCAGUUGGUUAGAGCGUGGUGCUAAUAUCACUCCGGUAUAUGGCACGCCAAGGUCGCGGGUUCGACCCCCGUACUGACCA